rnacentral:lncRNA from 1 species
CAAAAUAGUAAUUUGAGGUGUUUUUGAUGUUAGGUAUUGAUCUAAUUGUAUGACUAACAUUGAUAAUAGCCUAUCACCAUGAGUGCUGAAUGGAUAUUUAAGCCUAUACUUAAUUAUGGGCAAAAAAUUUCUCCUUCCCUUUUGUAUAUGAGGCUUCUUCUUUAUGCUUUCUAGGUUCUAGAAAGGAGGCAAGGAUUUUAAAGCCAUGGGUGAUUAUCAUAGAUAUUCACAAUGGCAAACCUAAAGGAUUUAGAAGCUCUGCACCACCCAAAGGGAAAGCACCAGUGAGAGUCAGGAUGCAAUUCCAGACAAGUGCCAUUCCUUAUUCAAAAUGUCAAGGUCAGGUGUGGAUGAUGAGUUCAGAUCUGUGCCAGCAACUGUGAAGACUGGAAGACUGACUGGAAGGAAAAAACACAACAGUUUUCUGGAACAGCGAGAUGCAAAAAUCCUGAACCUUCAAAGCCAGCUCCUGCAGAAGAGAGAGGGCCUGGCAGCUGAGGUAUGGUGCUCCCUCAUUUUUUGCCCCCCUUUAAAAAGCUUCAUGUGUGUCUGCAUGUGAUCGUAUGAUAGGGAGACGCACGAAGAAAUGCCUGGGGUAAC